UGGGGAAUAUUGGUCAAUGGGGGAAACCCUGAACCAGCGACGCCGCGUGAGGGAAGAAGGUUUUCGGACUGUAAACCUCUGUCUUAGGGGACGAAAAAAAUGACGGUACCCUAAGAGGAAGCUACGGCUAACUACGUGCCAGCAGCCGCGGUAAUACGUAGGUAGCGAGCGUUAUCCGGAAUUACUGGGUGUAAAGGGAGCGUAGGCGGGAAAUCAAGUUGCAUGUGAAAUCUAUCGGCUCAACCGGUAGGCUGCGUGCAAAACUGAUUUUCUUGAGUGAAGUAGAGGCAGGCGGAAUUCCCAGUGUAGCGGUGAAAUGCGUAGAUAUUGGGAGGAACACCAGUGGCGAAGGCGGCCUGCUGGGCUUUUACUGACGCUGAGGCUCGAAAGCAUGGGUAGCAAACA
rnacentral:rRNA from 1 species